rnacentral:rRNA from 1 species
UUAAAAUAAAAUUAAUAAAUUUAAUAAUUAAUAAAAAAAUUUUUAAUAUAAAAUAACAUAAUUGAGGGGUUAUAGUAUAUUUUAUUGAAAAAAUUUUUUAUUUUAUAGUUUAUUAGUAUUGUAAAAGAAUUUUGAAAUAAUUUUUUAUUUAAUGGAAAAGUAAUUUUAAUUUAAUGUAUCUUGUGUAUCAGAGUUUACUAAUAAAAUAUUAUUAUUUAAAAAAUUCUCGAAUUUAAAAGAGUUAAUUAAUUAAUAAAGUUAUUGUUACAUAAAUAUUUUUAAUAAUUAAUUUGAAAUGAAAUGUUAAUCGUUUUUAAAUAUAUCUAGUUUUUUUAGAAAAAAAUUUAAUUUUUAAUUUAAAAUAAAAAUUAAUUAAUUAAUUAAUUAAUUUUUAUUUUAAAUUUAAUAAUUUAAGGGAUAAGCUUUAAAUUAAAUUUUUAUAAUUAAAAUAAAUUAUAUUUGAAAUUUUUAUAAUUUAUAUUGUUAAUAAAUUUUAAUUUAUUAUAAAUAAUUUCAUUUAAAAUAAAAUUUAAUUGAAAAUUUAAUUUUUUAUAAAAUAAAAUAAUUUUUAAUUAAUUAAAAUUAAUUAUAAUGGUGAAAUUAGUAAAUAAUAUAUGUAUAUAUAUAUAUAUAUAUAUAUAAAUAACAAAAAUAAUUAAUUUUAAAAAGUUAAUUAAAAAGAAUUCGGCAAAUAAUAUAAUUUAUAUUCACUUGUUUAUCAAAAACAUGUCUUUUUGUUAAUAAUUUAAAGUCUAAUCUGCCCACUGAUAAUAAAUUAAAGGGCUGCAGUAUUUUGACUGUACAAAGGUAGCAUAAUCAUUAGUCUCUUAAUUAGUGACUUGUAUGAAAGAUUGGAUGAGAUAUAAACUGUUUCUUAAUUAAAUAAUUGAAUUUAAUUUUUUAUUUAAAAAGUUAAAAUAAAUUAAAAAGACGAGAAGACCCUAUAGAGUUUUAUAAAAAUUUUUAUUGAAAUUAUUUAUAAAAUUAUAAAUUAAUAUAAAUAUUUUUAUUUUAUUGGGGUGAUGGAAAAAUAUAUAAAACUUUUUUUAUUUUUUAACAUGAAUAAUUGAUUUUUUGAUCCAUUUUAUUAAUGAUUAUAAGAUUAAAUUACCUUAGGGAUAACAGCGUUAUUUUUUUUUUUAGUUCAAAUAAGAAAAAAAGUUUGCGACCUCGAUGUUGGAUUAAGAUAAAAUUUAAAUGCAGAAGUUUAAAAUUUUUGAUCUGUUCGAUCAUUAAAAUCUUACAUGAUCUGAGUUCAAACCGGUGUAAGCCAGGUUGGUUUCUAUCUUUUAAAAAAUAAAAUAUUUUAGUACGAAAGGAUUAAAUAUUUAAAUUAAAUUUAAUUUAAUGAAUAUUUUUAAUUAAUUAAUA